rnacentral:rRNA from 1 species
AUUGAACGCUGGCGGCAUGCCUUACACAUGCAAGUCGAACGGUAACAGGUUAAGCUGACGAGUAGCGAACGGGUGAGUAAUACAUCGGAACGUGCCCAGACGUGGGGGAUAGCUCGGCGAAAGCCGGAUUAAUACCGCAUAAGCUCUGAGGAGGAAAGCGGGGGACCGUAAGGCCUCGCGCGUUUGGAGCGGCCGAUGGCAGAUUAGGUAGUUGGUGGGGUAAAGGCUUACCAAGCCUACGAUCUGUAGCUGGUCUGAGAGGACGACCAGCCACACUGGGACUGAGACACGGCCCAGACUCCUACGGGAGGCAGCAGUGGGGAAUUUUGGACAAUGGGCGAAAGCCUGAUCCAGCAAUGCCGCGUGCAGGAUGAAGGCCUUCGGGUUGUAAACUGCUUUUGUACGGAACGAAAAGGCGCCUACUAAUACUGGGUGUUGAUGACGGUACCGUAAGAAUAAGCACCGGCUAACUACGUGCCAGCCGCCGCAGUAACAC